AAGAGACCUUUCUCCUAGCUGCCUGGGAGACGGUCUUCUCCUGUUUGCCUUCAGAACAAGAUGUAGAACUCUGAGCUCCUCCAGUGCCGUUCUUGCCUAGAGGCUGCCUGCUCUCUGCCAGGAUGAUAAUGGAUUGAAUCUCAGAACCUGAGCAUCUUCCUCAGAACGAGGCUUUUCCUGGGUUACCUGACGAACCUUCUGGAUUUCGUCUCUCUGUGGGUAUGUAUUUAGCCUCCUCUGCUGUGGGCCCCUCUUACCCAACAAUAUAAACCACUUGUGUGACAUCUCCACUUACAUACUUCACACUUCAGACUCAUCACCUGCCCCCACCUCACAACCUUCUGCUGCCCCGCCGUCCUCUGCCUUGCACCUGAGUCCUUGCAUCCUCCAACCACUCAGACAAAACGAGGAAUCCUGCUGGCUCCAUCCCUACAUCUGAUUGGUCAGCAUUUCCUGUCCAUUUCCUUGCAAACCCAUUUGUGUUCCUUGCUGUCUGUCAUCAUGGCUCCACCAAUGAGACACUGACCCCCCAGACCGUUGCAAAGCUGUGCUACUCUCAUUCUGCCCCUCCCAUCCUCUCCAGAAGUGACGUGGGGUUGCUCAUGCCAAUGAAAGGUGGUACACUGCCUUUUUGCUUCUUUUCUGAAUACCCCAAAUACAAUUAUUUCAUAU